rnacentral:rRNA from 1 species
GUUCGGAUCGCAGGCUGNAACCCGCCUGCGUGAAGUCGGAAUCGCUAGUAAUCGCGGAUCAGCAUGCCGCGGUGAAUACGUUCCCGGGCCUUGUACACACCGCCCGUCACACCAUGAGAGUCGGGAACACCCGAAGUCCGUAGCCUAACCGCAAGGGGGCGCGGCCGAAGGUGGGUUCGAUAAUUGGGGUGAAGUCGUAACAAGGUAAC